rnacentral:rRNA from 1 species
CCUACGGGAGGCAGCAGUCGAGAAUCUUCCGCAAUGGGCGCAAGCCUGACGGAGCGAUGUCGCGUGAUGGAUGAAGAGCUUCGGUUUGUAAACAUCUUUUAUGCGGGAAGAACGUUGACGGUACCGCAUGAAUAAGGGGUUGCUAAACUCGUGCCAGCAGCAGCGGUAAUACGAGUACCCCGAGCAUUAUCCGGAAUUAUUGGGCGUAAAGGGUGAGUAGGUGGUGCAAUUAGUCGAGUGUUAAAUUCCAGAGCUUAACUUUGGAUCCGCACUCG